rnacentral:ncRNA from 2 species
CGAAACAUGUAGGGGGACCAGUGUUGCUGGUUGAGACCGUAUCCAAUAGAUACAUACCCUUGGAACCUGAUCUGGUUAAAACCAGCGUAGGGAACAUAUUUAAACAGGAC